rnacentral:lncRNA from 1 species
GUAGAUUCUUUUUUAAUGGAUAAAAAAAAUUAAAAAAAUAAUGUGGACCUCUAAUAUGUUACCACAUGACAAAGCUGCUUUCUAAAAUCCAGCUGCUAAAGUAAUGGCAUGAAUGAGUCAAUUUUAUUAGACGAUGGCAUCAAUGAUCCCAAUUUUUAACGGAUGACAUAAAUGAGUCAUUUGAUAGUUCAAUGACAUAUUUGAGUAUUUUCCCUUCUUAAAAUUCAAGAACCAAAUCAAUGACUUAAAUCACUUCCGAACCACAUCGAAAUCUGUAACACCCAUCCUCACAAGUCAUAAAUCACGUACAAAAACUACAGGAAGGUUUAAAAUGGAAAAUUAAGUAAGAUUCACAAAACGAAUAUGAGGGUCGAUACAUUACUUGCAUCAUUAAGGUUCUGAAAUAACGAUUAAACAAAUGCAAAAUUGUCCUUUUUAAGUUCUAAUCUCUAGUACAGUAAUCAUAUUGCCGCUUCUUUUCCUCGAACGAUCUUAAAGUUUAAAGAGAAGAACCUAUUCGUUCAUGCUCUCUCUGCCUCGAAUUUCAGAAUAGCAAGAUAAAAAUCAGGUUCAUCUACAAAUUUGACUAAUUCAAAUGAAUGGUCCGCAGCAACAUUUUGCAGCAACAUCUUCUCAGGCAAAUUAGAAACAACCACAUCUGGCUAUUUUUUUCUGUUGUUCUUCAACCACUUGCCUGCCUUGUGGAUGACUAAUCACAACUCUUGCACCUGAACAUAUAAAAGCAACUAUCAGAGCAUUUAAACCCCAUCAAGCAAUCCCUCUUAGAUUUGUGCAACGUGGAUCAUUUUGCCUUGAUGAAAACAUAAGAUCAAAUGUAGUACACGAUACAUAAGUACAGUA